AUGGUGAAUAACCGUUCUGUGGUUGAACAAGCUCAUGAGAUACAGUGCAUUGUGAAGGAACUUGAACUCCUUAAAUGUGUUCUACCCGACAAAUUCGUGGCUGGGUGCAUGAUUGCAAAGUUGCCUCCUUCAUGGAGGAAUUUCGCCACAACUCUGAAGCAUAAGAGACAGGAGAUAUCAGUUGAAAAUCUGAUUGCAUCUCUUGAUGUUGAAGAAAAAGCUCGGGCUAAAGAUACCACUGAAAAAGGAGGUGAGGUUCAGCCUACUGCUAACAUGGUGCAGAGGUACCCACAGAACAAGAACAAAGGGAAGAACAAACCUGUUUUCAACAAGCCUACCAAGACUACUACCUUCAAGAAGAAGAAGUUCAACAAGGCUGAGCUAGAGUGCUACGCCUGUGGGAAGCCUGGACACUUUUCCAAGGAAUGCCCUGAACGUGCAGACCGCAGAGGGAAAACAAGCUCCAAGACUGUCAACAUGGUGACCGCUAGCAAUACUGAUGGGUAUGGUCGCAAGGGAUUCUUCCGUCCUAAUGGGGAAUGGGUCACAUGCUUCUGUUCGUGGCAUUGGCACGUCUAUGAGUGCGGAGGCUUGUUCCGCUUUUCUCUUUCAGAUUUUUGCAAUAAGUCAAUAAACCAAAUUUGUGCUAGUGUUAAUGAUGAUGCAAGUAUUUGGCACUCUCGUUUAUGUCAUAUUAAUUUUGGUUUAAUGUCUCAGCUAUCCAGCAUGAGUUUAAUUCCGAACUUCACAGUUGCCAAAGGUUCUAAGUGCCAUAGUUGUGUGCAAUCUAAGCAACCUCGAAAGCCUCAUAAGGCUGCCGAGGAGAGAAACUUGGCACCUCUAGAACUCAUACAUUCUGAUCUUUGUGAGAUGAAUGGUGUGUUGACAAAAGGUGGAAAGAGAUAUUUCAUGACUUUGAUUGAUGAUGCGACUAGAUUUUGCUAUGUUUAUUUGUUGCAAACUAAAGAUGAAGCAUUAGACUACUUUAAAAUCUAUAAAGCUGAAGUUGAAAAUCAACUAGAGAGAAAGAUCAAGCGUCUUAGGUCCGAUCGUGGUGGAGAGUAUUUUCCAAAAGUUUUUGAUGAAUUUUGUGAGGAACAUGGUAUUAUUCAUGAGAGGACGCCUCCCUAUUCACCUCAAUCAAAUGGAGUGGCUGAGAGGAAAAACCGCACAUUGACUGACUUGGUGAAUGCCAUGUUAGACACUGCUGGUUUAUCUAAGGUGUUCAAAAAGAAGCUAAAGCCUGAUGGUACUAUUGAUAAGUACAAGGCGCGGCUAGUGGCCAAGGGCUACACUCAGAAAGAAGGCGAAGAUUACUUUGACACCUAUUCACCCGUUGCCAGAAUGACCACCAUUCGAGUGUUACUUUCCUUGGCUGCCUCUUAUGGUCUUAUCAUUCAUCAAAUGAAUGUAAAGACAGCUUUUCUCAAUGGAGAGUUGGAAGAGGAGAUCUAUAUGGAUCAGCCUACGGGUUUGUGGUAA
rnacentral:rRNA from 1 species